rnacentral:rRNA from 1 species
UACAGAGGGUGCGAGCGUUGUUCGGAAUACUGGGCGUAAAGCGCGCGCAGGCGGCCUUUUAAGUCUGACGGUGAAAUGCCGGGGCUCAACCCCGUGCCCGCCGCGGAUACUUGGGAGGCUGGAGACGAGUAGAGGCAAGCGGAAUUCCGGGGUGUAGCGGUGGAAUGCGUAGAGAUCCGGAAGAACACCGGAGGCGAAGGCGGCUUGCUGGGCUCGGUCUGACGCUGAGGCGCGAAAGCGUGGGGAGCGAACAGG